GGCAGUGGCAGGUCAGGCGGCGCUGACGGCUGGCGGUCGGGCAGGGUUCGGUACAGACUAGCGCCGGUGCUGGCCGGUAGCCUCUGGCGGUCACGCAAGAGGCGCGCUGGCAUGGACUGAGGCACGCCGGCCGGUCAGGACUAGGCCCGGGGCGGUGGCGGCGGUGACGGCCGUGGCGGCGGUGGUGGCGGUGGCGAUACGGCGCCCGCCCGCCCGUCCAGUCCACCGGCUUCGCCAGAAGAUAUAAAAGUGGGACGCGCCCGAGUGGCCGGCGCCACACCGAGCCGCCAGUCAAGAUGUGGUGCUCUCAGACUCUCGUCGUUCUUCUCGCCGCUGGAGCUGUGGUCGCCCAGGAGGCCGCCCAGGCGCCGGAAUUCAUAUGUCCUGAGAACGAGAUCACCGGCAAAUUCGCCGACCCCUACUGGUGUGAUCGCUACUGGGACUGCUUCAAGGGCGAGGCGACUCCUGUGGAUUGUGACGAUGGUACGGCGUUCGACCCGCGCCGCAUCACGCAGGCCAACCCGUGCGACUACAUCUACAAGGUCAACUGUACGGGCCGCGAGGCGCUGGGUGACCCUCUCGGCACCGGCGUCUGCGAGCGCAUGAACGGCGUCUACGCACACGAGGACCCCAACGUCUGUGACAAGUACUACACGUGUGAGAACAACAAGCCAACGCUGCUGGCCUGCGCGCCCGGCCUGCACUUCAACCCGGUCAACCGGCUCUGCGACUGGCCCACCGCGGCCAAGCGCGGCGCCUGUGACGCGCGCACCUCCCUGGACGGCUUCACGUGCGACGACAAGGAGUAUUUCACGCCCAGCGGCCAGAAGAUCGCCCACCCGACCUUCCCGCACCCGGAGGACUGCACCAAGUUCUACGUCUGCAAGGGAGGCCGCGUGCCGGCCCUCUCCGGCUGCGACGAAGGACUGGUCUACAACACUCAGACCAGUAACUGCGACGUGAUUGAAAACGUGCCCGAGUGCGACCCCAACUACACCGACUACGCUUACGAAGAUUACCCAGCGGACGCCGCCGACCCGGCUGCAAACGUCUGAAAAGGCUGUCGCUCGACCUCCAGCUCGGACAGGCGGUCAGCCGCUCGCAGAACUGGCUCCGAAGGUGGUGUGAGGGCCGCGGGGCAGCUCUGACCGGCCGCCGACCUCGGCGCCACCAGCCACCGGCCCCGCGGCCCAGCCACUUCCUGCCUCCGUCGCGGUCAGCCGCCAUUACCGCCCCGUUAUGUCACCACGUGGCCCAUCUCAGGCAGGGGCCUCUGGCGGCACAACUCUCAGUCAGACAGCGCCGCAUGUGAAACGGCGCUCCUCACCAGUUUAUUGUUGUAUUUUGCAGUGUGUCCUAUGAUGUUUUGUGAUGAAUAGGUCAUGUACCUAAUGCAAGCAUUUGACCUGACCUUAGUGGUCAGUGGUCACUGGGGUUUGAACCUUAAUCCUUGACCCGGCCGGGCCCGGGGGGCAUAAGCGUAACUUUAUAUCUCUUUGUGGGUGCUCAAGCACCCCCAAUCCUGAGCUCAGCACCCCCUGUCUUCUU
rnacentral:misc_RNA from 1 species